rnacentral:lncRNA from 1 species
AUUUAAAACUGAUGUUAGUAAAAUUGUGAUGGAACUAGACACGUUGGAAGUAGCUGAUGAAGAUAACAGUGAAAUAUCAGAUUCAGAGGAUGACAGUUGCAAGAGUAAAACUGCUGCUGCUGCUGCUGAUGUGAAUGGAUUUAAACCUUUGUCAGGCAAUGAGCUGAAGAACAAUGGGAACUCUACUAGCCUGCCUUUGUCUAGAAAGGUUCUUAAGUCACUCAAUCCUGCAGUCUAUAGAAAUGUGGAAUAUGAAAUUUGGCUGAAGUCUAAACAAG